UACGGGGGGUGCGAGCGUUGUCCGGAAUCACUGGGCGUAAAGGGCGCGUAGGUGGUUUGAUAAGGGUGUGGUGAAAGUCCGGAGCUCAACUCCGGAUCUGCCGUGCCGACUGUCAAACUCGAGGGCUGUAGAGGCAGACGGAAUUCCGGGUGUAGCGGUGGAAUGCGUAGAUAUCUGGAGGAACACCGGUGGCGAAGGCGGCAUCCUGGACCGGCAUUGACGCUGAGGCGCGAAAGCUAGGGGAGCAAACGGG
rnacentral:rRNA from 1 species